rnacentral:rRNA from 1 species
UACGGAGGAUGCAAGCGUUAUCCGGAUUCAUUGGGUUUAAAGGGUGCGCAGGCGGGCUUUUAAGUCAGUGGUGAAAGCUGCCGCUUAACGGUAGUCUUGCCAUUGAUACUGAGAGUCUUGAGUUUGGAUGAGGUAGGCGGAAUGUGCAGUGUAGCGGUGAAAUGCAUAGAGAUUGCACAGAACACCGAUUGCGAAGGCAGCUUACUAAUCCACGACUGACGCUGAGGCACGAAAGCGUGGGGAUCAAACA